rnacentral:tRNA from 1 species
CGGAAUGUAGCGCAGCUCGGUAGCGUACUUGCAUGGGGUGCAAGGGGUCGUGGGUUCAAAUCCCGCCAUUCCGA